CUCCGCAGUAAAAGGCGGCUCCUAUUAUUGGAACAAUUAGCAUAGAAACUCAACUGCCGCUCCUCCAGGUGGGCCUCAGAGGGGGUCGAACAGGACCAGACCCAGGAGGGCCCCACACCAACUUCCGGAGGGCAGGACUCUGCCUGCCAGUGAGCCCCAGAUCCAGGGACUAAGGCAGCAGGGGUGAAAGCAGGAUGGGGGCCGCCAUGACAGACGGCGGGAUCCGGCCAGCUGGCCUACGCGGUGCUUGCGAGCCUGGCGGCGCGCGCGGGCACUGGGCAUGCGCGGGGUGAGCGCGCCGCCGUCACCGCGCUCCGCUGAAUCCGCGUUUCCGGGAUUUCUCUGUAGUGACUUAGAAGCUACCCGGCGCCUCAUCUGGGCUCACCUGAGCUGAGGAUCAGGAAGGGGAGGGGGCACAGUCAUUCCCUCGCGGACGCGGCGGGACCCCAGCGGACGGCUUUGUGCGGACUUUCGGCACCGUUAUGCCCCCCUAGCCCGACACCACCUGGGGCUGGCGCGCCACGUUACUGUUCAGGGCCAGACGCACCGCCCUGCCUGCUCCGGGGAGCCGGACCUCCGAUCCCGGGGAUGGGGGACCCCGAGACCUCAGACCCAACGGAGGGGACUCUGAUACCUCAGACCCCACGCGGGGACCCCGAGGCUUCAGACCCCCACAGGGUGACCCCGAGAUCUCAGACCCCCGCAGGAGUACCUCCAGACCUCAAAUCCCCAGUAAGGGAAUGAAAGAGACUUCGGAUCCCUGAGGCAGCAAAUCCCUGUAGGGGCAUCCCAGGACUCAGGUCACCGCGGGGUGAACCCAGACCUCACAUUCAGGCAAUCCCCAGGACGCCGAUCGGCUGGCACUACCCACUGUCCCGGCCACCCCCCCUGGAGCUCAAAGGCUUGGCCCUCCAGCUGCUCCACCCUGCCGGCAACCAGGCUCAAACCUGCAGCCCGCGGAUCCCCUGCCCCGGAAGCAACCAGAUUCGCGGGAGGUUACCUGACUGAUCCAAGGUGAUACAGCUGGUAACUGAUGGAGAUGUUGGUAGUGAAAUUCAUGUACUUUUAGUUCUUUCUAUGGAAUCUAGAGGUAGAAUACAUGUAAAAGAAUAUCGACUACCGUCUACUCAGGUCUCUGUUUUAUCUGUUUAUUCAUUCACUCUCAGCUUUUAAUAGGAUCCAAUGAGCCCUCUGUGGUUCUGAAGAAUUGCCUUGAGUAUAUGCAGCCUCAAAAAACCCACUUCCUAGGCUCAGUCUUUGAUCAAUAUUUAUCAUUAUCACCAGUUAUUGUUCUAAUAAACUCUACUCUGGAAAUAUGGUGUUAUGGUUUACUUGGGAGUGUGAGUUCAGGGCAUCAUUGAAGACUCACGUACUUUUACUGAGAAAGUGACAUUGAUCUCUGUAGAUUUUGAAUUAAAUGAUAUGAUGAAGUAUAUAAACCAAUUACUUUUGGUCAAGGUGGUAAAAAAAGUUUAGUAUUUGAUAGAUUCUUCAUCUCCACGAUCACAAAUAUUUUCUCCUAGGAUUUCUUCUAGAAAUAUUACUGCUUUAGGUUGUAUAUCAGGUCUAGGUUCUACUUUUUUUUUUUUUUUUCUCCAGGCAGUUUCUCACUCCGUUGCCCAGGCUGGAAUGCAGUGGUGUAAUCACAGCUCACUGCAGCCUCAACCUACUGGACUCAAAGGAUAAGAUCUGCUUUUAAUUAAUUUUUGUAUACGGUAUGGGAUAGGGACCAAAGUUCAUUUUUUUGCAUGUAUACAUAUCCAAAUGUUCCAGCAUCAUUUAUUAAAAAGUUAUUUUUGUCUCUACUGCAUUUCCUUUGUGCUUACAUCAAAAUCUGUGUUGCAUAUGUAUGUGUUUCAUUUUAGGCUUCCUAUUGUGUUCCAUUGAGCUAUUUGUCUUUUUGCUGCCAGCACCAUGCUGUUUUGAUUAUUGUAGCUAUAUAAAUAAGUGAUGAAAUCAGAUAGUUUAUGUCCUACAACUUUAUUUUUCAAGGUUAUUUUGUAUCUUCUAGAUUCUUCAGAUUUCCUUUUAAAUCUUAGAGUCGACUUCUCAUUUUGCACAAAAAAAUACUGCUGGGAUUUUGAUUGAGAUUGUGUUGACUCUACAGAUGAAUUUGGGGAGAAUUGACAUUUUAACCAUAUUGAAUCUUCUGACCCAUUAACAUUUAGGUCUUUUAAAAUUUCUCUGGCCAGACGCAGUGGCUCACGCCUGCCACUUUGGGAGGCCAAGGCGGGCCGAUCACAAGGUCAGGAGAUUGAGACCAUCCUGGCUAACACAGUGAAACCCCAUCUCUACUAAAAAUACAAAAAAUUAGCCGGGCGUGGUGGCAUGCGCCUGUAGCCCCAGCUACUUGGAAGGCUGAGGCAGGAGAAUGGCAUGAACCCGGGAGACAGAGCUUGCAGUGAGCAGAGAUCUUGCCACUGCACUCCACCUGGGGCAACAGAGCGAGACUCCAUCUCAAAAAAAAAAAAUAUAACUGUUGUUAGAUUUUAACCUAAGUAUUUGUUUUUUUAUUUUGUUUUUCUUUUUUUCUUCUUUUUUUUUUUUUUUUUUUUUUGAGACAGGAUCUCACUCUGUCUCCCAGGCUGAAGUGCAAUGGUGUGAUCAUGGCUCAUCUUGAAGCCUCGACCCUCCUGGGAUCAAGCUAUCCUCCCACCUCAACCUCCUGAGUAGCUGGGACUACAAGUACACAUGACCAUGCCCAAUUCAUUUUUUAAAUUCUUUGUAGAGGCGGAGUCCCACUAUGUUGCCCAGGCUGGUCUUGAACUCCUGGGCUCAAGCAAUCCUCCCACCUCAGCUUCCCAAAGUGUAGGGAUUACAGGCAUGAGCCACUGUGCAAGGUCUUGUGUUUUUUGAUAAUAUCGUAAAUGGUGAUUUUUUCAUUUGUUUCUGAUUGUUGCUAAUAUAUGGAAAUAUAGUUGAUAUCUGCAAUUGAUCUCAUGUCCUGAAAACUUGCUAAAUCUGCUUAAUAAUUUUUUGUACAUUCAAAAUGAUGUUCUACAGGUAGUCGUAUUGUCUAUGUUGGAAGGAAAGCUUUUCCUCAUUCAAUGUCGGUCCUGUGUUUGAAGACCUGCAAAUUAACUGAUAACAACAGGUUAACAGGAGAAAAGACAAGGUUUAGAGUAACUCACUAAAUAGAAAUAAAGGUUUAUAGAUCCACUUAACAAAAUGUGUUGGG
rnacentral:lncRNA from 10 species